rnacentral:rRNA from 1 species
CCUANGGGGGGCUGCAGUCAAGAAUAUUCCUCAAUGGACGAAAGUCUGAAGGAGCGACGCCGCGUGACUGAAGAAGUCCUUCGGGAUGUAAAGGUCUUUUCUCAGGGAAGAAAUCUGACGGUACCUGAGGAAUAAGAGGUUGCUAACUCUGUGCCAGCAGCAGCGGUAAUACAGAGACCUCGAGCGUUAUCCGGAUUGAUUGGGCGUAAAGCGUGCGCAGACGGCUUUCUAAGUCUACGGUCAAAUCCCGAUGCUCAACAUCGGGACUGCCGCGGAAACUGGAUCGCUAGAGUGCGGAAGAGGUCAGCGGAAUUGCCGGUGUAACGGUAAAAUGUGUUAAUAUCGGCAAGAACACCAGAGGCGAAGGCGGCUGACUGGGACGCAACUGACGUUGUUGCACGAAAGCGUGGGGAGCGAAUGGGAUUAGAUACCCCGNUANUC